rnacentral:misc_RNA from 1 species
AGAACAUGCGGAGCACGUCGGUGGAGGCGGCGGCGGACUUGGUCCGGUAGUAGUGCUCGUAGUGGCCGAGGACCCGGUUGACGAGGCGGUGGAGCUCGGCGUCGUCGGGCGGCGCCGCGGGGUUCGUCGCCGCCGACGCGGCGGAGCGGAGCGCGGCGAGGUCGCGGGACUGCUCGGAGAUCCAGCACUCGAAGAACUUGGCGAACGACUCGCCGGAGGGCGCCGGGACGUGGUUGCCGUUGCGGUGAGGUGGGUGCGGCGACGGCGGCGGCAUGGUGGUUGGCGAUCUCUGCGUGGAA